CUCCUGCCCAGCAGCACAGUUCAGAGAGAGCGACUCGUCGGGUCCUUUGCAGCCUGUGGCAAAGGCAAACUGCGGAGUUCUUAAUCAUUCAGAGGGAAUCCUCCAGCUCGCCCUGCCUCUCGCGGCAGAGGGGACCCAGGGAAAGCUCAUCUGAGGACACAGUGAGAAGAUGGCCAUCUACAAGCCAAGGAGAGAGCCCUCACCAAGAACCCAAUCACUUGGCACCUUGAUCUUGGAUUUCUAGCCUCCAAAUCUGUGAAAAAUAAAUUUCUAUUUAAGUCACACCGUUUAUGAUAUUUUGUUAUGGCAGUCCAAGCUGACCAAUACAGUGUGCAAACACAUUUCAAGUGGUUAUACUUCACAUAAUUUCAUUAUGAAAUGUCAUAUUUUUUCCCCAAUAUUACUUAGUUCUUUAAAGUUUGAUUUUUCAAAUAGUGAUGAAGGAAUGCAAUAUAAAACACAUUGUCAGUAAUUUAAUGGAAUCCUUUUUAAUUCUAUAUUUUAUCUUUCUGGGUCUACAUAUAUUUAAGUGAUGUCUCUGGUUAAAUAUAUAUAUACGUAUAUAUAUACGUAUAUAUAUAUGUCUACUUUCAAAAGGGCUAGUCUGAAAAUGUUAAUCUUUCAUUUGAGUAUGUAGAUGGUUUACACUUAGUACCAUUAUCAAUAUAAACAUUAUAUAUAGAUAGAUUUAUAUCUUACUUUGUUUUACGUUGCUGUAAGAGAAUACUCUGAGACAGAAAAUGUAUAAAGAAAAGAUGUUCUGUAGUUAGGGAAGUUCAACGGUAUGGCUUGGAUUCUGGCAAGGGAUUUUAUGCUGCCUCAUAACAUGACAGAGAAGGUUAACGGGGAAGUGGACCCAAGCAAAAAUUAAAAACUCAAAGGAUAUCCUGGCUUUAUAUCAACUCAUCCUCAUGAAAAUUAAUCCAUUGUCACAGAAACUGAUUCAGUGUCACCAGACCCACAACUUUCUCACUACAAUGAAAAGGUCAACAAGCUGUUCAUGAGAGAUUUGCUCCAGUGACUUAAACACCUCCCACGAGCUCCCACCAUCAAACAGUGCCACACUGAGGAUCAAAUUUCAACAUGAGUUUUGGUGGAGGAAAAUCAUACAUGUCUACAAUUUUACUAUUUGUUCUGUCAUUUACUCCACUUAUUGUCUCUUCUGAAUUAUUCUUCUUUUGUCAUAUGAUCAGUUUAUUCUAUGUAUACUAUUUUACUAAGUGAUUGCAAAAGAAAAUUAAAUAUAGUUGAGUCUUGAAAUAUUUUAGUCUAACAAAUUGUUUCACUAAUUCCUCAACUUUAAUCUUUCCAUUGUUUAUAUUUUUAUGCAUUUUAAUCUUCUACAAAUGAAUAUUUACCUUAUAAUUAUUAUUUCCUGCAGCCAAUAUCUAUUAUAUCUAUCUGUAUAUUUUUAUUUUCAGGUAUACUUUUUUUCCUGUGUCUUGUGCUUUUAUCUAAAAUAAUUAUUUUUAUGCCUGAACAACACACUUUAAUAUUUCUUUAAGUGCAGGUGUUUUUCAGUUUUUGCUUGUCAGAAAUAAUUUUUAUUUGGUCUCCAUUAGAAUAAUAUUUUUAUUGGAUAUGGAAUUCUUAGAACUUUGUUUCUCUACAUUUGAUAAUGAUUUCCAUUGUUGUCUGGUUUCCCAUGAUUUCUGAGAACAGUCAGCUGCCAAUGAUGCCACUGCUUCUUCUAUGGGCAGGUGUCAUUUUUUGUAGCUGCUAUUAAAAUUUUCUGUUUGGUUUUGGUUUUCUUUUCCUAAAAAAUGAUGUUCCUAAAUGUAGAUUUAUUUGUAUUCAACCUGCUCUGAGUAUAAAAAUUUUCUUGCAACAGUGGCUGGGUAUCAGUAUUUGAUUUUGGAAAACUCUUGGUCAAUAGUGUUUCAAAUGUUGCUUUUGUUCCAUUCUCUUCUGCCUUAUAGGGCUCAUAUUAAAGAUAAGUUAGGCCUUUUCAUAUUGUUUUAUAUAUCAGUAACUGUCAUUUCUCUAAUAUGUACUCUUGUUUUACUAAAUCGUUCAAUAUAAAGAAUUUCUAUUAAACUGCCUUUCAAUGUUUUUCAAUAUACUGAUUCUUAUUUUUUUCUGCUGUGUCUUUUCUGAUUAAAGUCAAUUGUUGACAUGGGA